rnacentral:rRNA from 1 species
GGAAUAUUGCGCAAUGGGGGAAACCCUGACGCAGCGACGCCGCGUGGGUGAUGAAGGCCCUCGGGUCGUAAAGCCCUGUCGUAGGGGAAGAAGUCCCUGCCGGCCAAUACCCGGCAGGGUUGACGGUACCCUCCAAGAAAGCACCGGCCAACUCCGUGCCAGCAGCCGCGGUAAUACGGAGGGUGCGAGCGUUGUUCGGAAUCACUGGGCGUAAAGCGCGUGUAGGCGGCUGGCUAAGUCUGGUGUGAAAGCCCGGGGCUCACCCCCGGAAGUGCGCUGGAAACUGGUCAGCUAGAGUAUGGGAGAGGGAAGCGGAAUUCCUGGUGUAGCGGUGAAAUGCGUAGAUAUCAGGAGGAACACCGGCGGCGAAGGCGGCUUCCUGGACCAAUACUGACGCUGAGACGCGAAAGCGUGGGGAGCAAA